GGCGGUUUGGCCGAGUGGUCUAAGGCGAUUGAGUAUGUCUCUCUAAACAAUAAGUCUACCAACACCCACUAACAAUUCCAUUAGCUUGAAUGAAAUCAAUUCCGUUCGCGGGCGCAUGUUCGAACCAUGCAGCCGUCG